rnacentral:misc_RNA from 1 species
GAUGAAGAACGUAGCGAAAUGCGAUAAGUAAUGUGAAUUGCAGAAUUCAGUGAAUCAUCGAAUCUUUGAACGCACAUUGCGCCCCCUGGUAUUCCGGGGGACAUGCCUGUCCGAGCGUCAUUACAACCCUCAAGCUCAGCUUGGUGUUGGGCCCCGCCGCCCCGGCGGGCCCUAAAGUCAGUGGCGGUGCCGUCCGGCUCCGAGCGUAGUAAUUCUUCUCGCUCUGGAGGUCCGGUCGUGUGCUCGCCAGCAACCCCCAAUUUUUUUCAGGUUGACCUCGGAUCAGGUAGGGAUACCCGCUGAACUUAAGCAUAUCAAUAAGCGGAGGA